rnacentral:misc_RNA from 1 species
UACGGAGGGUGCAAGCGUUGUCCGGAUUUAUUGGGUUUAAAGGGUGCGUAGGCGGCCUUGUAAGUCAGUGGUGAAAGCCCAUAGCUCAACUAUGGAACUGCCAUUGAUACUGCAAGGCUUGAGUACAGACGAGGUUGGCGGAAUUGAUGGUGUAGCGGUGAAAUGCAUAGAUACCAUCAAGAACACCGAUUGCGAAGGCAGCUAACUAGGCUGUAACUGACGCUGAGGCACGAAAGCGUGGGGAGCGAACAGG